UGGGGAAUAUUGCACAAUGGGCGCAAGCCUGAUGCAGCCAUGCCGCGUGUGUGAAGAAGGCCUUCGGGUUGUAAAGCACUUUCAGCGGGGAGGAAGGCGGUGAGGUUAAUAACCUCAUCGAUUGACGUUACCCGCAGAAGAAGCACCGGCUAACUCCGUGCAAGCAGCCGCGGUAAUACGGAGGGUGCAAGCGUUAAUCGGAAUUACUGGGCGUAAAGCGCACGCAGGCGGUCUGUCAAGUCGGAUGUGAAAUCCCCGGGCUCAACCUGGGAACUGCAUUCGAAACUGGCAGGCUAGAGUCUUGUAGAGGGGGGUAGAAUUCCAGGUGUAGCGGUGAAAUGCGUAGAGAUCCGGAGGAAUACCGGUGGCGAAGGCGGCCCCCUGGACAAAGACUGACGCUCAGGUGCGAAAGCGUGGGGAGCAAACAGG
rnacentral:rRNA from 1 species